CCCAAAAAAAAACUUUAAUAAAUACAAAGAGGGGAAGCUCCCAGUGCUCCCAGUGCUCCCAGUAAGGGCUGGGGGCUCCCAGUUCCAUUUUGGGGAGAAAAGGGGGAUUUUGAGGGGAAAAAAAGGCGGGAAAACAUGAGGGAAAAAGGCGGCAAAAUGGGAAAAAAGGCGGGAAAACGGAAGAAAAAGGCGGGAAAACGUGAGGGGAAAAAGGGCGGGAAAACGUGAGGGGAAAAAGGCGGGAAAAUGUGAGGGAAAAAAGGCGGGAAAACGUGAGGGGAAAAAGGCGGGAAAACGUGAGGGAAAAAGGCGGGAAAACGUGAG